GUGUCAGCCGCCGCGGUAAUACGUAGGUGGCAAGCGUUGUCCGGAAUUAUUGGGCGUAAAGCGCGCGCAGGCGGAACUGCCAGUCUGUCUUAAAAGUUCGGGGCUCAACCCCGUGAUGGGAUGGAAACUACAGUUCUAGAGUAUCGGAGAGGAAAGUGGAAUUCCUAGUGUAGCGGUGAAAUGCGUAGAUAUUAGGAAGAACACCAGUGGCGAAGGCGACUUUCUGGACGAACACUGACGCUGAGGCGCGAAAGCCAGGGGAGCGAACGGGAUUAGAUACCCCGGUAGUCCUGGCCGUAAACGAUGGGUACUAGGUGUAGGAGGUAUCGACCCCUUCUGUGCCGCAGUUAACGCAAUAAGUACCCCGCCUGGGGAGUACGACCGCAAGGUUGAAACUCAAAGGAAUUGACGG
rnacentral:rRNA from 1 species